rnacentral:lncRNA from 1 species
GGAAGAAAGAAAGCGUAUGGUCGAAACUACCACCAACUCUCUAAAAUCAAAAGGUCAAAGAAAAAGAUUAUAGCUAAAAAUGAAAAUCACCACCAGCAUCAACCAUCAAAGAGAAUCAUGGGGGGUAGCGGAUGCAUCAUUGAACCAUCAAAACCAAUAUGCAAUCGUGGAGAUGCUUCUGAUGUACAUUAACGCAGGGAGAACCACUGAAUCAAAUCCCCGCCGACUCGCCUCCGCGUGUUCCAGACGCGCUCUUCGGA